ensembl:snRNA U6 U6 spliceosomal RNA
GUGCUCGCUUCACCAACACAUAUACUAAAAUUGGAAUGAUACAGAGAAGAUUACAUGGCCCCUGUGUAGGGAUGACAUGCAAAUUCAUGAAGAAUUCCAUAUUUUU